AAACAAUUCAUUCAAUUCAAGAAUUCCCAUCACAUGGAAUUCACAGCAGAUCUUCUAGGCUUUAAACCCUCUCUUCCAUUCUUGGAUAUUGAUCCGAAUUUGGAAUCCUUGAACCAAUUCACAGUUGUAAACCAAACUAUCCUAGAUACUUCAAAUUUGAAUUCAAUCCACAGCUUCGAUGUGCCUUUCUCUAGUGACAACUUCUUUAGUCAUCAAGCUGCAGCUGCAGAAUUCCCUGGGAACUUGGCAGAUAAUUUUCCUGGUAUUUUCCAUCAAAACAACCAUCAUAAUAUUAUGCCAGUUUCUCAUGGUCAGUCCUUUUCCACUCCUGGAAAUGAAAGUGAAUUUCUUGAAAGCAAGAAGAGAAAAGCAAUGGAUGUAUCAGAAAGCUCCUCUUUAAACUCAUCUCCACAAGUUUCUGAAAGUGGGAAGGGCAAAAAUAGUUCAAGAAGAGGAAAGAGAGUGCAAGGCAAGGAAGAGGAAGAGAAACCAAAGGAAGUUGUUCAUGUCAGAGCUAGAAGAGGGCAAGCCACUGAUAGCCACAGUUUAGCAGAAAGGGUAAGA
rnacentral:misc_RNA from 1 species